rnacentral:lncRNA from 1 species
AUGCCGAGACCCUCCCGGGCACAGGUGUCCAUGUGCGGGCGGGGAGGGCUGCCUCCCACCCGGGAGCUCUCGUUCCCAGGAGCCCAGAGCGGCGCCCACUCCCAGGGCCUAGACCCAGCGCCUCCGGGAGGGCUGCCGGGGAAGGCCGUGGAUCCGGGGCCUGGGGGCCGCACCGCCCCUCCCACCACGUCGCAGCCCCCAAGUCAGAGCUGCGAGCUUCCUCCCACAAAGGCCCAGCCGGGGAAGAUGGGAGCGUGGGCCCCCGCGGGGCAGCCUCACCUUCCCCCGGCACACGGCCAGGAAAGUGGCCCCAGUGGAGCCGGGACAGGCGACUCGUGCGUAGUAGGCGUCCACCACCUGGCGGGAGACGGCGCUCAGCCCCUCCGUCUGUGGGAGCGACACCCCGGGUCUCGUCCCGAGGUGAGGGGCCGUCCGGCUGGGGGAGCCAGCAGGCCGAGCCUCUGCAGGGCGCGGGUGCCCAGGCCGACCCAGGGCCUGCUCAGAAAGCUCCGGGGCCCCGCCCACCCCCGAGGGACGGCUCAGCACCCUCCCCGGGCCCCAGCCCCGAGCCACACCUCGGAGAAGCCGCCUUUGUUCCGCGGCUCCACGAACACGGGCUUCAGCGCCUCCAGCUUCCCGGCCGAGUCGUGGGUCUGUGACGAGACACAGGCAAGGGGGCGCCCGGCCCGCGGUCAGAGACGGUGCGUGUGGCCCCGCCGGCCCUACUGCGCGCCCCAGCCCAGGACGCACCCGCCAGAACUGCAGGCUCCUCUCCAGGACGGGGUAGGACGGGAAGAAGACCAGGAGCCCGUGGGGGACCACGCGGGCGAUGUUGCCUGCAGGCCACGGCUUCGUCAGCAAGAGGGCCUCACGGGGGCUGCGGGCAGGGGCCCGCCCUGGGGAUGGGGCGCCCGCCGGGAGGAGCCGGGGCCCCCCGCGCACUCACCUAGCGCCUUACCCAGGGAGGACAGGCACGCCUCCGAAAACCUGCGCAAAGCCAGAGCCCCGCGUCACCAGGGUCCUCACCAGGGUCCCCACCAGGGUCCUGGCAGAGGCAGAGGCAGAGGCACGCAGCCCGCCCCCCGCCCCCCAGGCCCCUACCGCUUGUCAAAGGCAGAGCUCAGCUGGGCUCCGUCGGGGCCUCUGGAGACGAUGCCCACCCAGAUCUGCUGCUGGUGGAUGACGUGUGGGUUCUCCAGGCAGACUGGGAAAGGGCUGGGGGCAGGGCGGCCCUGUGAGGUCCUGAGCCCAGCACCCUCAAGCCAGGGCUGGCCUGGGCCCCGCACCCGCAGCCGCCCGGGGCCGCCCUUACAUCUGCAUCUCCAGGGCAAAGGAGGACACGGGGGCCAGCGUGCCGCUGGUGAGGAUGACGGUGCGGACGCCCUGCUGCACCAGCUGCCGCAUGCUGUGGCCGGGGCUGAAGCACCAGUAGCUCAGCACCUUCCCUAG